AUUGAACGCUGGCGGCAUGCUUUACACAUGCAAGUCGAACGGGGUUGGGAGCUUGCUUCCAAUCUAGUGGCGAACGGGUGAGUAAUACAUCGGAACGUACCGUGUGGUGGGGAUAACGUAGCGAAAGUUACGCUAAUACCGCAUACGAUCCACGGAUGAAAGCAGGGGACCUUCGGGCCUUGUGCUAUACGAGCGGCCGAUGUCUGAUUAGCUAGUUGGUGAGGUAAAGGCUCACCAAGGCGACGAUUAGUAGCGGGUCUGAGAGGAUGAUCCGCCACACUGGGACUGAGACACGGCCCAGACUCCUACGGGAGGCAGCAGUGGGGAAUUUUGGACAAUGGGCGCAAGCUUGAUCCAGCCAUGCCGCGUGUCUGAAGAAGGCCUUCGGUGUAAGGAC
rnacentral:rRNA from 1 species